CUUAGGUAAUUCACAUGAUAUAUUUGUAUUAUAUAUUAUUGAUAUACAUUAAAAUAAAAUGUGUUUAAUUUACAUUGUAAUAUGUAAGUAUAUUAUAUUAUAUACACAUAUAGUAUUUGUGUAGUUCUAUAUUAUUCAAAAUACAUUUUAACGAAUGAACAGUUUUUUUUUUUUUUAUUGAGUACAUAUUAUUAAAUUUUAACAACAAUAUUUUUGUUUGCGAAAAGAUAAUAGAGAUAAGGUAUAUUAUAGAUAUACACAACAGUGGUAAAAUAUACUUUUUAGAGUAUAUGUCACUCGAUUGAAAAAGUUUGAUUUGUUCAGUCUAUUGUACUCAUAUAUAAUAUCAAACUAUGCAAUAUCAUCGGUAAAAUGUUUUCAAAACAUUAAAUUCUUACAAUUUUCUAUUGUCAUACACAAUGUACUAGUGGAUAUAAUAUAUAUUAAUUUACACAAAAUCAUUAAAUACACAUUUUACAAGAUAGAUAAAUGUAAAAAAAAAUUAAAAAAAAAAAAAACAAUAUUAUUGCUUUUUUUUUUGAGUUUUAAAAAUAAGUUGUUUUAUUACUGUAUUUAUCAAAAGCUAAAUUUAAUUAUUAAUAUUUAAACUAACUUGAAGGGAGGGGGCAUUUGAGUAAAUUAAUUGUAAACAGAUUAUAUUGAACGCAUACAAAAAUGCUGUGUUAUGCAACAGUAUUUUUUUAAAUAUAGAUUCAUGUAUUAUAAAUACUUUUUUUUAAUUUUUUACCUAUAACUACAAUAGAUAAAGAAACUUCAAAAAUAAUAAUAAUGAUAAUAAUAAAGGAAAAAAAGAGAAUCCAUCCACUUGUUAGAGCAUUUUCAUAAUAAUUGUAAUCUGAGAUCUUAAUAAUAUAAUAUUAUGUAGAAAUGAUAUAAUUAAAAUAAAAUACAACAUACAUAAUGCAUAAUAUGUAUGUAUACAGACUUAAUAUUAAAUUAUAAUCAUAAAAAAUAAAAUACAAUAUGUUGAGUUGCUACAAAAAAAAAAAAAAAAAUAUAUAUAUAUAUAUAUAUAUAUUUGUAUCAUAAUAUAAUAUAAUUUAAAAUUAUUUAUAGGUACUUUGCCUACUGUACCUUAAAAUAUACAUCAGUCAGUAAAAUAUCAUAAUUAUUUUUAUUCUCCUUUAAUUAGGUAGGUAAUUAAACAUAUUAUAUUAUCAUACAUAAUUCCUAGCACUACAUAUUGCCUUAAACUAUUUAUUGAUUUUUAUUUAAAAAAUUAGUUACAGUAUAAUAAUAUUAAAACUGGUACCAUAGCAACAACUAUCUUAAAAGUAUUUUAUAUUAUAUAGGUGGGGUGUAGUUCAUUGAGUGUAAUAAUUGGAAGUUAAUUAUUUAUUUCAACGAUACAAUAUCAUAACGAUGUUCACAACAAUUGUACACAUAAUCAUGAACAUUUUAAAUGAACCGUUUUUUUUUUUUCUUUCUAAUUGAGCAAAACAAAUACAUAUAUGUUAUAUUAUAUAUAUAUAUAUAUGUUAUAUUAUAUAUAUAUAUACGUGUGUUAUAAUAUUAAAAAUAACAUACCAGUUACAAAUAGAAACAAAAAGUCGAUUUUCCUCUUUUAAAAUUAGGCCUAAUAUUAGGUAACCUAUUUUUGUACAAUUGAUCAUUUUUUUUUUCUUUUUACAUUUCUAUUUAUGUAAUUUAGUUUUUUUUUUUUUUUUAAUUUUUAUUUUAAUAAUACUUUUUUAUUUUUCUUAAAACUAGAACUAUUAUACAUUUGGUCUUAAAAAAGUUAAUACACGUUACCAUACAACGCUUACAUACUAUUAAUGUGUACAGAAUAUACAUUAUUAUAAAAAAAAAAAUUAUAUGCAUAAAAAAAAAAUAUAUACCAGGUAUCUACAUCUAAUAUCUAAUAAGUAGAGUAUAAUGUAAAAAUAAUAAUAGUUAUAAAGAAAUCAAAUUAAAACUUCAGGGUUCUAUUUACGAGGAGAAAACACACUCUUAUGUCAAAAUUUUAACACAUAAUUAACAAAAUCAAAAUAUUAAAAUUAAAAAAAAAUAUAUGUAUAUAUAUAUAUAUAAUAAAACAGUCUUUAGUUACAAAAUAAAUAAAAGAAAAAUAAUUUUUCUUUGAUUGAUUAAAAAUAUUAUAUUGCUUUAGUGAACAUUUAGAACCAAUUUACUGCCAUUUUAAAAUGACAUUGAAGACAAGGAUUUAUUAUUUUAUUUUGUAACUACAACUGUUAAUUUUAAACCUUAAACACAGAAAUUAAAGCAAAUUAAAUAUUAUUACUUUUCUAGUGUUUGUUAGUAUAAUUUGUAAAAUCUCACAUGUAUGUAUAAUGUAAAUCAAAUCACGCAAAAAAAAAAAAAAUCAAAAACAAUAUAGUAAUAACAAAAAAAAA